rnacentral:rRNA from 1 species
AGGCAGCAGUAAGGAAUAUUGGUCAAUGGACGAAAGUCUGAACCAGCCAUGCCGCGUGAAGGAUGACGGCCCUCUGGGUUGUAAACUUCUUUUAUCUGGGACGAAAAAAGGGAAUUCUUUCCCACUUGACGGUACCAGAGGAAUAAGCACCGGCUAACUCCGUGCCAGCAGCCGCGGUAAUACGGAGGGUGCAAGCGUUAUCCGGAUUUACUGGGUUUAAAGGGUGCGUAGGUGGAUUUGUAAGUCAGUGGUGAAAUCUCCGAGCUUAACUCGGAAACUGCCAUUGAUACUAUAAGUCUUGAAUUAUCUGGAGGUAAGCGGAAUAUGUCAUGUAGCGGUGAAAUGCUUAGAUAUGACAUAGAACACCAAUUGCGAAGGCAGCUUACUACGGAUCGAUUGACACUGAGGCACGAAAGCGUGGGGAUCAAACAGGAUUAGAUACCCUGGUAG